UACGGAGGGUGCGAGCGUUGUCCGGAAUCAUUGGGCGUAAAGGGCGCGUAGGUGGCGGGACAAGCGUGCGGUGAAAGCCUGGGGCUCAACCCCGGGUCGGCCGUGCGAACUGUUUUGCUUGAGCACUGUAGAGGCAGGCGGAAUUCCGGGUGUAGCGGUGGAAUGCGUAGAUAUCAGGAGGAACACCAAUAGCGAAGGCAGCUCGCUGGGACGUUACUGACACUAAGGCGCGAAAGCGUGGGGAGCGAACAGG
rnacentral:rRNA from 1 species